AACCCAGUUCACCCCCUUCCUUUUGAAUUCUUUCUGGUGUGUCUGCUGCUCCGCCCGAGCUAAUCCCCAAAUCCGGUCUCCUAAGCCGCAGCUGCUUCCCUUUGCAGGGAUGAACGGCUCUGGGAGGGAAGAUAUCUGGUGAGCAUUCCCCUCCUGGCCCAGGGCAUGCCCCAGUUCACUUUCGCCUGUUUCUGUGGUCUUCACGGCUUCUGCAAGAUGAAGAGGAAGAAGGAAGACGUCCACAGAGAGCGGGAAACAGCGGUGUGAGCAGAACCAGGGCCUCCUUGUCAGCUCCCAGUGGCUCCGGGCCCGAGGCUGCUCACUGUUAUGGAGCUCAGUGCCUGUGCCUUCCGUCUUCAUCCAACGGGAGUCUGCCUACCGUGAGGGCAUCCGCCUCUUGAGCCUUCUUAUUGGCCACCCCUAUCAGCUCCCAGUCUUCUGUGCUCCUGGAGCGAGGCCUCAGCUACACAGAGGGAUUUCCAGGACCCACCACUUGCCUUCUUCACCAGACUGGGCAAGGAAGGAGGCUCCCAGGCUCGUCUCAGGGCUGCGUCUCCCAUGAGGCUAAUGUGGCCUUGGGAGAGGGAAGUAGCUGUUCUUACAAACGCCUUGAAGAGUUUGAUGUUUGAGACACUACCUCCAAGCACAAGAUGGAGUCUCUGCUGGGGCCCCAAGGUCUCCGUCCCCUCCCUGCAUCCUCUUGGGCCAGCUGGGCCAGGACGGAGGUUGGAGGCCCAAGUUAGACAUUUGAGGGGCCAGGCAGUGGGUGACUCUUCUCUGUGUCACAGGCCAGUCUUCCCUCAGUUCUGGUCCUGGAUCACCAGUUCCGUAUAGUCCUCACUUCUUUUGGGAGCACAUAGAUGUGGGGAGACCUCUCCCCAGGUACUAAGCCCCUCAGGGACUGUCCCCAGAUCUAGGCCAGACCACUGCCCCCAUUUUGUUCAUUCCUCCCCGGCUUCUCCUCUCCUUGGGAAGCUGGAGAAGGCAUUACGCUGGCAUGUGGCACCUUCAGAGGACUCUUGGAUCAGGGAACCCUAGGAUUUCCCUUGACUUUUCCCCUCAUCUUCCCAGUGUGCUGUCAAUCUCCUGCUUCAGGGUCUUGUGUCCCAUAUUCAUCUCUAGGACUUCAGAAGCAAAGUCUAAAGCAUUUCCUUUCUUCCCCUUCCUCUCUCCUUCCUUCUCCUUCCUCCCUGGCCUUGGCCUUGUGCCCGGAUCUCUCAGGUGCUAGAGGGAGAGCUGGGACCUAAGAACGAACUCCAGCAGUAGACAUCCUUUCUGUAGCUUCUGGUCUGCUAGCCGGCCGCUCUCCUGAUGGGAACAGUUCAGCAAGGAAAGGAGUCACAUUCCCACCACCAUCUGGGACAGAACAGAUAAACAAAGGCCUGGCUGAGGAGGAGGAGGGUCCGAGACGAAGGAAGGCCUGAACUCAGUGAGGGCCUCUGAGCAAAUAGAGAAGGGCUGUUUCUUUGGCUUUGUGCAUUAAUCACUGGCAUCAAGGUUGUCUUGGUAAAGCCUGAGCACAGCCAAGAGGCUUCUCUCUCCUCCAUCGGCUUCUCACGUCUUCCUUCCCACCUGAGCCACCCUACUGUCUGUUAUUUUCUGUCAUAUUCAAAGAAUCCUGAACAAAUCCUUCCCUCAGGGAAACAUCAAGCCUCUGCAGCAAAGGCCAGUGAGGUCACAAGGAACAAAGCAAAGAUCCAGUUUCCUCUCAGACAGUGGAGUCCUUGGGUGAGGCAGAGAUGGCGGAAAAGUUUUUGGGGGCAUACUUUGCUAUUGAAGCCACAGAUCCCUCCCCGAGUGUUGCUAGCUGCGACCUGCCUUCCAGGCUGCAAUCAGAGAAGCCUCUCUGGAACUGGAGGAUGAAAUCAUAUCCUCAGUACUAAGAGGCGUUGGGUGUUAUGUCCCAACCACAUAGGCUCACCCAGAGGACAGGUCAGAGAAUGGAGAACUUAGGUCUGGGAAGGGUAAGGAGGGGGGCAGCUCUCUGGUGCUCGCUUCACAGCCCUCGGCAGGGAGGCAGCCCCGGGGGUUGGCAGAGAGCUGGCUCAGAGAGCUGCUUACCUCACAAAAGUGCCCUUGGUGUGGGAGAGACAUUGGAUAUCUCGAGCCCUUACUAUAGGACCCUGGGUGGUUCAAGGUUCUUGGAGUGUACGAGCCCUGCUGCUUGCAGACAGCUGGCUGUCCUUGCUCCCUACAUGCCCGGUGAGGUGAGGUGUAGGCAUGCCGCAGAAGACGUGGCUUGAGGAGGCAGCGGCGGUAGCAGCGUCUAGCAAACGCACACUUAUUAUUUUGACCGUUUUCUCAAGGAGAUGGGGAGUCUGUCCCUCUCAGUGUCUGGGAAGCAGCCGGAAACCUGUUCCCAAUUCAGCUUCUGGCUGGGCUCAGUCAAUUUUGUGUUUUCUGCUUAAUGUUUCCUUCACUCUGCCUGAGGGAAGGCUAGCCCAUGGGUCUUUUUAGACUCUACUGAGGUGGCCCUCUGCUCUCAGGGUGAGGCACACCUUUCAUUCCUACGGCGUGGUGCUCAUCUUCCCUAGAGGAUGGGUUCUGCGUUCCCCCUCUUGGGCUAUGGAACCAGUCAGUGGAAAGUGUGUGUAUAUAAAUGGCUGUUGAGGAUUUUAGGACUUGAAUGCCCUCUAGGACCCUGGCCCAGGACCCCCAAGGGCUUCUUGUCUUAGGUUCAAAAUAGUUCAUUAAAAUGUUAUUUCCAUUCUCCGCUCCUAAAGGAGGUAGGCGUUUGAAUGUAGUAUAUGGAUCCAUAGAAAUAUAUAAAGAAGUUGUUCAUUUUUAGAUGAAAAUAAAAAGCAAUAAUUUAACCAAAAAAGAUAUAUGAGAUGCAAAGAGCCCUGAGCCAAAAGCCGGUUUCCUGGGUUCUAGCCUUGGUUGAGUACCAGUGAUCCUGUGACCUUGGAUGAAUGAGUCAGGCCUUAUUUCCGGGACUGGUUCUUCAAGGAUAGAAGGGGUUGCAUUGAUGUAUUCUGGAGUCCAGGCUUUGUGGGGUUUCAGGUGUCCUGUGCCCCAGGGGAUGUGUUCUGAGGGCAGCAUAGUGAAGAGGGCGGGCUGGAGUCCCAGGCAGAUCUGAGAAGUGCUGGAGUGUGAGGGGAAGCCCCAGCCCCAGCUUCUAGAAUGUUCCUCCAGUGAGGGCUGGGACACCAGGCCCUGUGUGGGCCGCCACUGUUGCCAUCUUUGUGCUCCUAUGGCACACAUACUGAAGAGAUUCAGAAGGGCCUAACAUCUGCUUGAGUUCGUUUUGUGUAGCUGCCCAUGGCCCAUCUCUAAGACGAUGGAGCCUUCCUCCCCACCCCCCCCACCCCCCACCCCCGUCCCUCAGGCUGGGUUUGUACAGCAGUGGGUAGGAGAGGAGGCACUGGUGCCCUUUGUGUGGGGAGUUACAGUUUUCCCGCCUCCCCUGGGGUUCCUCCACUGACUCCUGACCACAGAAACUGCUUCCUCUCUCCCACGGAUGAGUCCCACACCUGCAUUCCCUACCCAACAUGAAGAGCACCUUGUAUUGGAUGUAGCCAGACAUGGCUGAAACUUGGAGAUGGACCCUUGGUUCCCAGCUUCACCGGGAGAGGGAGUCCGGACCGAUGCAUUCAGGGGCCUCCUAGCUGCUGCUCUUCACUCAUCCUGGAGGUUACUGCUGUGCCUGGCAAGUGGUUGGGCUGACAGCCCCCCAGGAACCAAGAAGUAGAGUCUUCCCUAGGAAUGCCCCUGCUGUAUCUUCAACACACAGGAAGAGCAAUCGUAGCCAUCACCACCUGCUCGCUCCUAAAAGCUUCAAAAUACAUGUCGCUAAACGAUCCAGGACCAGGGUGCCUGGCUUGUCAGAACAAGCCCUCUGGUCCCCCAGGCCAGCUCUGGAGUAGUUAGUGCCCACCAUGCGGGAGUUGUGGCAUAGGCCCCUUUUCUAGAUUCCUGUGGGCUUAGAACCUCACGUGGAAAGCAGACUAUCCACAGGGAGCUGCUCAGAACAGCCUUACACCAAAGAAGACAUUUCAGUAGCAGGGGCCCUGUAACAUGGGCAGUCUGGGCCCUGGCAGACGCACCCAGGCUCUGAAGUUCACGGGUUUUCCCAGUGGGCUUCCAGUCAGCCCCCUUCCCUGCUGGGGCGGCCUCUCUCCUCCCUCCGCUCAUUCCCGCAUUCCAUCUGAGGGGCGGGAGGGAUGCCAGCGGGGGAGAUGGCAGGACCUAGACACAUCCUCAGGACUCUCCCAGCCUCCCUUGCCAUGGCAACGCUGCUAUUUUUAUCCUGUUGUUCAUGAUGCUCAAAGCUCUGACUUUCUCUGUUCCAGAGAGCCCAGCUGCCUUCUGCCCUCACCCCUCAGCGUAGCACCUUCUCGAAGAGGCCCGAGGAGGGAAAGGAAUGCUGAGGGGAGGGGGCACAUCUAAGUCAUCCCUUAACCAAGGGGACCUAUUUGGCUUGCUGGCUUCAAUAAUCAGUUUUGUGUUUCCUGGGAGGUCAGAACUAUGGUCAACCUGGGUGACUACCAUCCGGAUGUCUCCUCAGUGAGCCAAAACACACACUGCUGCUUCUGUUGGGGACACCCAGUCUCCUGAGGACUCUCCUGUUGGCACAAGCAAUAUAUAAAGAACCCUGCUUGGCUGGUUACGGCAGUCAGAUAACUUGAUGUUGCUGUGGAAUUUAAAUGACUUCCCUUCUGUCCCUCUACCAAAGAGCUAGGACAAAUGCAUCUAUGUCUUUGUCUAGUCAUUUUGCCCAAAGCAAGACAGCAUAUACUCCCCAGGCUAGGAAAGCAGACUCCCUCUAAUUUAGCCAUAUUCCCUUCAGGAAAUCGAGGUCCCUCUUCCAUACCCCUGCAAGGUGCUGGGGACGAAGCCCAAGGCCUCAGGACCACUGGACAAGUGUUCUCCUGAUGAGCUGCAUCUUUACCCUGUAGCGUAAUGAUGUUCUUGAAGGCAGCAUUUAGUGAGAGGCGUUCUUAGCUGUUUCUUCUGCCUCUCCUCCAACGCCUCUGAUUGUCUUCCUGUGUCCCGAAUUCCACCACAGUGGCAGGGAAUCCCUGAGAAUCAUUGGUGCUAAUGGUCUCCAUCUAUAUGCUCCUCUGUCAGUCGGUGAGAUGUGAACUCAGCAUGUGCGGUGGCUGGGUUAUGGGGUACAUUUUAUGUAUGUCCCCCAAUACCUUGAUCCUGGAAACAGGUCCAGAUCUUAAUUCAACGGACCGCAAUCUACAUCUUGUUAACCUCUGCUUCGGUUGAGUUGACUCCUGAACGGUUCUUCUUCCUAGGGUGACUGAGACCCAUUUACCAAGCCUCGUUGGUUUCGUUUUGGCCCUAGCUGCACGGUUUCCGACAUCUCUGCAUCUGGAGUAAGCACUUUUCUGGUUGCCACUGGAAAGCAUGCUGGCAGAUUCUGCGCCGAUAAUUGCUGUAAUAAACACACUUUAUUACG